AGCUUUUUUUUAUACAACCUAGAAUGUCAAACAAGCUAUAUACAUAACAGAGUAUACUGUUUCGCCCAUGAUACCUCCCCAUGUGUUGACAUUCCUGAGGACUUAGGUUUUAUUCCUUUGUAUCCUGUAAAUUUACUGUCAUAUCCCACCCUUCAAACCGAAACCGAAAUGGGACAGAGGUGCAAAAGCAAACGACUUUUGUACAAAGUCUCAGUUUUCAUCUAAUUGGCCAAAUGAACAUAAAGUCAUGAGGUAGUGUAUAUGGAAUUAAUGAUUGAGUACUCUCAUUUGCAUUAUACCACAUGGCGAAUCACAGAACAUAAGCAACAUUGAUGGACAAACGUGCAAAUGAGGGCAAAGGCGAAGCCGAGGCACACAUACGACAGAUAUGAGUUUACAUUAAGUAUUGAGUAAUUUAUCUGGCCGCAAAACACAACAGAUAUGGAUUUUCAUACAACUUUUGCCGGCCGCUGCCCGCAUGUAUCUGGCCAGUACGGCAAUUUUGAUUUAUCUCUAAGAAGAUUGUCAAAAUAAUGCUCACAUUUCCAAGCAUGUUUGAGAAAAUAUUACUUAAUUCUGAUCAAAUAACCAGUGAUUUAAAUAAUCAUUUUGCAGUUUUCUACGUGAAUGUACGUAAUAGAUAAGGCAACACGCCACAUUCGUUGCUGAUCCUGUCACCGGCACACCUACGCGCCAUACAACCUAUUAGUAAAUAAAAUAGCCCAACUACUUACAGAUUGUACAAAUAAAAGACUGUUUGUUUACGCCGUCUUUGAUACUUUUAUUGGACUACCUAAUGAAAAUUUAAAGGAGCGAAAGGUAAAAGUU